rnacentral:rRNA from 1 species
AUUGAACGCUGGCGGCAGGCCUAACACAUGCAAGUCGAGCGGAUGAAGGGAGCUUGCUCCUGGAUUCAGCGGCGGACGGGUGAGUAAUGCCUAGGAAUCUGCCUGGUAGUGGGGGAUAACGUCCGGAAACGGGCGCUAAUACCGCAUCCGUUCUGAGGGAGAAAGUCGGGGUUCUUCGGACCUCACGCUAUCAGAUGAGCCUAGGUCGGAUUAGCUAGUUGGUGGGGUAAAGGCCUACCAAGGCGACGAUCCGUAACUGCUCUGAGAGGAUGAUCAGUCACACUGGAACUGAGACACGGUCCAGACUCCUACGGGAGGCAGCAGUGGGGAAUAUUGGACAAUGGGCGAAAGCCUGAUCCAGCCAUGCCGCGUGUGUGAAGAAGGUCUUCGGAUUGUAAAGCACUUUAAGUUGGGAGGAAGAGCAGUAAGUUAAUACCUUGCUGUUUUGACGUUACCAACAGAAUAAGCACCGGCUAACUACGUG